CAGUAGCCGCGGUAAUACGAAGGGGGCUAGCGUUGCUCGGAAUCACUGGGCGUAAAGGGUGCGUAGGCGGGUCUUUAAGUCAGGGGUGAAAUCCUGGAGCUCAACUCCAGAACUGCCUUUGAUACUGAAGAUCUUGAGUUCGGGAGAGGUGAGUGGAACUGCGAGUGUAGAGGUGAAAUUCGUAGAUAUUCGCAAGAACACCAGUGGCGAAGGCGGCUCGCUGGCCCGAUACUGACGCUGAGGCACGAAAGCGUGGGGAGCAAACAGGAUUAGAUACCCCGGUAGUCCCUGUCUCUUAUAC
rnacentral:rRNA from 1 species